GGUCAAGGGUUCGUGGGGUCGAGGGAGCUUCCCAAGAAGGGAGGCACAUGACGAACGUUGUCUCGACGCAAGGUCCGGACAGUUAGAAGCAGGUCCCAAAGGUGACAGAGCCAGAAACCAAGACAUGGAAACAUCUUAUCACACGUCGAGGAUCAGCAAAGAGGACCCUGCUAAUUUGUUUAAGAGGAGCUGGCCUUCAAAAAGAGAGGUGCCAGCAAAGGCCUCCAAAGUCCAAGCCUGCUUUGGUCUCCAGAAGAAACCAAGGAGGUUGAGGUUUUCACGACACUCAAACGGGUGUGCCCCUCGGAAUGA
rnacentral:rRNA from 1 species